rnacentral:misc_RNA from 1 species
GAUGAAGAACGCAGCGAAAUGCGAUAAGUAGUGUGAAUUGCAGAAUUCAGUGAAUCAUCGAAUCUUUGAACGCACAUUGCGCCCCUUGGUAUUCCAUGGGGCAUGCCUGUUCGAGCGUCAUUUGUACCUUCAAGCUCUGCUUGGUGUUGGGUGUUUGUCUCGCCUCUGCGUGUAGACUCGCCUCGAAACAAUUGGCAGCCGGCGUAUUGAUUUCGGAGCGCAGUACAUCUCGCGCUUUGCACUCAUAACGACGACGUCCAAAAGUACAUUUUUACACUCUUGACCUCGGAUCAGGUAGGGAUACCCGCUGAACUUAAGCAUAUCAAUAAGCGGAGGA